GUUCGAUAGAAAAAAAAUACCCAUUCCCAAUUCGUGCGGCCGCGCACCCCACCGAUGGAUCCGCCGCUCCCCCCCGCCGCCGGCACGCCAUCAUCCGCCGCGCCGUCCUCCCCGCACCCUGGCCUGUCUCCUCUCCGCCGCGCCCUCCUCCCCGCGUCGUCCGAGUCCUCCAGGCGCGGUUCGCCGAAGGCGAGGCCCAGGCCGCCGCGCUCCUGGCCCGCGCCGGCCGGUUCGAGCGCACGCCGCCGACCGCGACCAGCUGCUCAUCACGCUCCUCUCCGCCGCGGGAAACGGCCGGGAGGAGGAGGACGCGCGGGAGGCGGGGCAGCGUCCGAUCCGGCCGAGGCUUACAGCGACACGGACGCGGAGGCUCUGGCCGCGGUCGCUGCGCUCCCUCCGUUCACUACCUUCCCGAUGGCUUUCUCUGUUCAAUUGCUUAAUUUGGUUGUCUUGUCUUACCUGAACUGCAAGGGAACCAACAUACAUGGUUUUGUUUGGUGAGAUUCUCUUUAGAAAACAAGAUUUGUAUUGGUGGUAGAUCGACAGCAACUGACAGCAUCUUCGUCAUCCGCGGUGGCAGUGCCGUCCGCGCGGAAUGCCUUCUGUGGCCGCGCCUCCGCCACCGACACCGCCACGCAGCCAAUGAUGUUGGCAUGUGGUGAAAAAAGGGCCCAAGUGAAAGGUCGACCAAGCUGUAAAAAUUCAGUGAGAGGAAUUUUUGUGCUCACAGCUCACACCAUGGCGUCCGUUGCCUCUGUUCUUACUUUAUUAUUUUGUUUUUCCCUUCGUCGAUUUUUCAUGUCGCCUGACAAGAACAAGAAUUGCAAAGAAGAAGUGAAAAGAAAACACAGAACAAAGGAUGAACGCCGGAGAGCACUACUAUAUAAUUUCCCCCCAAAAUAUGAUGGGCAGUGGUGUGCUUGUUUGCAUUGAUCGCAUGGUGGCCAGCACUUCACCACACAUCUGACGGCGACUGUUUUAUCCAAGAGGUGGAGGAUAAGAGAAGCGCAUCUCUUAAAUUCACAGUUUUGAACCUAAAGAGACACAUCUAGAAAAUGAUUGCACGAGUGGUUCCAGUGUCAUGUACGUCAACAUGGUUGGAGAUUUGGGAUCGGAUGCUGCGCCAAGAGCGAGGGACCGAGGUGCUGAACUAACAGCAGGGGGGAGGGUGAUUCUUUAGGUACCAACAUGGCUGUCGACUAGAGAAUUUAGUUAACCGUUUGCUUUACUUGAAGCUCCAAAUUGUAGUUAUUUUAUUCGUUCACUAAUUUGGUAUAAUCCUAAUCUAGGAGGACUAUGAUUGUAUGAUAUGAGAUCCUGACAUUUAGCAAUAAUAAAAGUCUGACACUGAAUGGUUCUUUUCGGAAGUACAGUUGUAAGAUCUAUGAUUCUAGCUUCGACCUUUAACUGGACAGUACUAAUUGGACAUAUAAUUGAUUAUUUAUGCACAACAAGAUAUUCUGUUUGUUUUAGUUUUUCAAUCAGAUUCAUCUAGCCCUUUGUUGACUUUCUAAUUUUUCCACCCUCUACCUCCGAAACUCAGAAAUCAGAGAAAGGUUAUUGGCAUAUCCCUAUCUCUGACGAAAAUUUGCUAGCGAGGAAGAGGACCAGAAUGUUUUUUCUAUUGUUGGGGAUAUACAUAAUACAUAUAGAUAAAUUUGGACCAUUUAUAACAGAGAUUUCUUGCCAAAAAUAUUAACUCUGUCCAGCAGUGGGCACUGUCAAGGUAAUAACAGGAAUUUGCUGAACCUAAUUGAAAGAAAGAGGGAUGGUAAUCCGAUUGAGAACAUUCUCUAACUAAAAUAGACUUACGAACAAUCAACAAUAUCAAAUAGUUUCAAAUUAACAAAUGUUGUUUGACUAAAAUACUGAUUUAAGAAUUUGGCGAAUCUAUAAUUCUCUACAUAAUCACUUGGUGCAUUGUUAGACCACUUGGGGACAAUAUCAUCAAUUUCUUGCAUACUGCAAUAAUGCAAGUUUAAAAAGCCAGUUUCUUGUGUUUCUUAUUAUCUCUGUGUUCAACUAACUGCCAAGAAUCAUAUAAGGAUGCAUCUAAUGAGGUAGAUUUUGUUUAUGCAUUUUUUAAGUGUAGGGAUGCUGUAUCUGAUUAACAAAACGUUGUUCAACCUUCUAUGAGUCCACCUAGGGAGCUGCACAAAUUUGGAACAACUUCCAGAACAGGCAUCCAAGCAUUUUGGUCUGCUACCAGUAAGCUGCCAGAGCAAGAUAGCUGGGAGUCUGGGAUGUCGAGUCGUCGAGCCGUCCAAUGCCAAGUUCGCCGGCGGAAGGAGAACAUCCGUCAAGCCGUCCGUCGCCUGAGGCGGCUACACCAGAGUUUAUUUUUUUCGCCUCGCUGCUCAACAGGUCCGUGGGUUACUACUCCUUUGCUCUUGCUGGCGACCGGCCUCCAGAGUAGCACUUGCUUGAGAUCUGAUCUAGAACUGAAUUGUGCCCUGCUUUGCUGUGGUCGUAUGCUCUGUGUCCACCGAUGAGUUUCAGAUACAGAAUAGGACCAAAAUUGGAGUAGGUUCAGUCGCGCAAAUGUUGUAUCACUUUGUCAUGGGUAUUGUGCUGCUAAAUUGCUUGUUGGAUUGUUCAAACUAAAGUCAUCCAGUCAGUUUGCUACAAUGUUCAUUUGUUUACUUCGGAAGUUCUUGGGCCUGAUCACUUUCGAAUUUGUCUAUGGUUUGAGAUUAAUCUUUCCGAGAUGUUA